CAGCAGCCACGGUAAUACAGAGGGUGCGAGCGUUAAUCGGAUUUACUGGGCGUAAAGCGUGCGUAGGCGGCUUCUUAAGUCGGAUGUGAAAUCCCUGAGCUUAACUUAGGAAUUGCAUUUGAUACUGGGAAGCUAGAGUAUGGGAGAGGAUGGUAGAAUUCCAGGUGUAGCGGUGAAAUGCGUAGAGAUCUGGAGGAAUACCGAUGGCGAAGGCAGCCAUCUGGCCUAAUACUGACGCUGAGGUACGAAAGCAUGGGGAGCAAACAGGAUUAGAUACCCCCGUAGUCCCUGUCUCUUAUAC
rnacentral:rRNA from 1 species